rnacentral:rRNA from 1 species
UGAUCCUGCCGGACCCCACUGCUAUCGGGAUAGGACUAAGACAUGCUAGUCGCGUGCCUCAGCCAAAACGAGGCACGGCACACAGCUCAGUAACACGUGGCUAAUCUGCCCUUGGGAUAGGAAUACCCCCGGGAAACUGGGACUAAUUCCCAAUAGGUGAAGAACUCUGGAAUGAGUCUCCACCAGAAAAGAGCUUACGUUAUGCUCGUAAGUUUCGCCCAAGGAUGAGGCCGCGACCGAUCAGGUUGUUGGCGAGGUAAUGGCUCACCAAGCCUUUUACCGGUGCGGGCCGUGGGAGCGGGAGCCCGGAGAUGGGUACUGAGACAAGGACCCAGGCCCUACGGGGCGCAGCAGUCGCGAAAACUUUGCAAUAAGCGCAAGCUUGACAGGGCUAUCCCGAGUGCCAUCCGCUGAGGAAGGCUUUUACCCAGUCUAGAACGCUGGGGGAAUAAGGAGAGGGCAAGUCUGGUGUCAGCCGCCGCGGUAAUACCAGCUCUCCGAGUGGUGUGGAUGUUUAUUGGGCCUAAAGCAUCCGUAGCUGGCUAAGUUAGUCCCCUGUUAAAUCCACCGAAUUAAUCGUUGGAUCGCGGGGGAUACUGCUUGGCUAGGGGACGAGAGAGGCAGACGGUAUUUUCGGGGUAGGGGUGAAAUCCUAUAAUCCCGGGAAGACCACCAGUGGCGAAGGCUGUCUGCUAGAACGCGCCCGACGGUGAGGGAUGAAAGCUGGGGGAGCGAACCGGAUUAGAUACCCGGGUAGUCCCAGCUGUAAACGAUGCAGGCUAGGCGUUUGGACGGCCACGUGCCGUUCUAGUGCCGCAGGGAAGCUGUUAAGCCUGCCGCCUGGGGAGUACGAUCGCAAGAUUGAAACUUAAAGGAAUU